GAUUAACGCUGGCGGCGUGCAUAACACAUGCAAGUCGAACGAUGAAACUUAGUAGACUUCUUCGGAAAGACACUAAGCGGAUUAGUGGCGAACGGGUGAGUAACGCGUGAGUAACCUGCCUUACACAAGGGGAUAGCCUUUGGAAACGAAGAAUAAUACCCUAUAAAACCAUAAAAGCACAUGCUAGAAUGGUCAAAGUGAUAGCGGUGUAAGAUGGACUUGCGUCUGAUUAGCUAGUUGGUGAGAUAAAAGCUCACCAAGGCAACGAUCAGUAGCCGGCUUGAGAGAGUGUACGGCCACAUUGGGACUGAGACACGGCCCAGACUCCUACGGGAGGCAGCAGUGGGGAAUUUUGCACAAUGGGGGAAACCCUGAUGCAGCGACGCCGCGUGAUUUAGAAGGCCUUCGGGUUGUAAAAAUCUUUUGUAUAGGAAGAAAAUGACAGUACUAUACGAAUAAGGUCCGGCUAAUUACGUGCCAGCAGCCGCGGUAAUACGUAAGGACCGAGCGUUGUCCGGAAUCAUUGGGUGUAAAGGGUACGUAGGCGGCUAGAAAAGUUAGAAGUCAAGGGCUAUAGCUCAACUAUAGUAAGCUUCUAAAACUAUUUAGCUUGAGAAAUGGAAGGGGAAGUGGAGUUCCUAGUGUAGCGGUGGAAUGCGCAGAUAUUAGGGAAGAAUACCGGUGGCGAAAGGCGACUUUCUGGCCAUUAUCUGACGCUGAGGUACGAAAGCGUGGGUAGCAAACGGAUUACAUACCCUGGUAGUCCAAGGGGCGAAGUCCCCAGUGGGAUGUCAGCUUUAU
rnacentral:rRNA from 1 species